rnacentral:rRNA from 1 species
UACGAAGGGGGCUAGCGUUGCUCGGAAUCACUGGGCGUAAAGGGUGCGUAGGCGGGUCUUUAAGUCAGGGGUGAAAUCCUGGAGCUCAACUCCAGAACUGCCUUUGAUACUGAGGAUCUUGAGUUCGGGAGAGGUGAGUGGAACUGCGAGUGUAGAGGUGAAAUUCGUAGAUAUUCGCAAGAACACCAGUGGCGAAGGCGGCUCACUGGCCCGAUACUGACGCUGAGGCACGAAAGCGUGGGGAAGCAAACAGGGAUUAAGAAACCC